rnacentral:rRNA from 1 species
ACGGAAGGCAGCAGUGAGGAAUAUUGGUCAAUGGUCGAGAGACUGAACCAGCCAAGUAGCGUGAAGGAUGACUGCCCUAUGGGUUGUAAACUUCUUUUGUUCGGGAAUAAAGUGCCGCACGUGUGCGGUUUUGUAUGUACCGUUCGAAUAAGCAUCGGCUAAUUCCGUGCCAGCAGCCGCGGUAAUACGGAAGAUGCGAGCGUUAUCCGGAUUUAUUGGGUUUAAAGGGAGCGUAGGCGGCCUUUUAAGUCAGCGGUUAAAUGUCAGCGCCCAACGUUGGCAUGCCGUUGAAACUGGAGGGCUUGAAUACACACAAGGUAAGUGAAAUUCGUCGUGUAGCGGUGAAAUGCUUAGAUAUGACGAAGAACUCCGAUUGCGAAGGCAGCUUACUGGGGUGCGAUUGACGCUGAGGCUCGAAAGUGUGGGAAUCAAACAGGAUUAGAUACCCUGGU